UGCCCAGCAACUCCUAUCCCGAUCUUCGUGUGGCACCGGCCGGGCUGCUAGCUAGGGAAGAUCGGGUAACCUACCCCAGUGGGAACUUUUGUCGUAGGCUGGUAGGGAAGG
rnacentral:ribozyme from 1 species